rnacentral:tRNA from 1 species
GCGGUUGUGGCUCAGUGUUAGAGUGCUCACCUAGCAUGUGCUGAGGCCCUGAGUUUGAUCCUCAGCACCACA